UACGUAGGUGGCAAGCGUUGUCCGGAAUUAUUGGGCGUAAAGCGCGCGCAGGCGGUCCUUUAAGUCUGAUGUGAAAGCCCACGGCUCAACCGUGGAGGGUCAUUGGAAACUGUCGAGCUAGAGUCCGGAAGAGGCGAGUGGAAUUCCUGGUGUAGCGGUGAAAUGCGCAGAUAUCAGGAGGAACACCAAUGGCGAAGGCAGCUCGCUGGGACGGUACUGACACUGAGACGCGAAAGCGUGGGGAGCAAACAG
rnacentral:rRNA from 1 species